CCUACGGGGAGCUGCAGUAGGGAAUAUUGCUCAAUGGGGGAAACCCUGAAGCAGCAACGCCGCGUGGAGGAUGAAGGUUUUCGGAUUGUAAACUCCUUUUGUUAGAGAAGAUAAUGACGGUAUCUAACGAAUAAGCCCCGGCUAACUCCGUGCCAGCAGCCGCGGUAAUACGGAGGGUGCAAGCGUUACUCGGAAUCACUGGGCGUAAAGCGCGCGUAGGCGGGAGAGCAAGUCAGAUGUGAAAUCCUAUGGCUUAACCAUAGAACUGCAUUUGAAACUGUUAUUCUAGAGUAUGGGAGAGGUAGGUGGAAUUCUUGGUGUAGGGGUAAAAUCCGUAGAGAUCAAGAGGAAUACUCAUUGCGAAGGCGACCUGCUAGAACAUAACUGACGCUGAUGCGCGAAAGCGUGGGGAGCAAACAGGAUUAGAUACCCGAGUAGUC
rnacentral:rRNA from 1 species